rnacentral:rRNA from 1 species
UACGAAGGGAGCUAGCGUUGUUCGGAAUCACUGGCGUAAAGCGCACGUAGGCGGAUGUGUCAGUCAGAGGUGAAAUCCCGGAGCUCAACUUCGGAACUGCCUUUGAUACAGCACGUCUUGAGUCCGAUAGAGGUGGGUGGAAUUCCGUAGUGUAGAGGUGAAAUUCGUCAGAUAUUAGGAAGAACGACCGGUGGCGAAGGCC